CCCCCCCCUAUUUACCCCCAUCCUCCACGCACACAUACACGCACACAUACACAUACACAUACACAUACACAUACACAUACACACACACACGCACACGCACACAAGGUAAUAGGACUAAUGACAGACUGUUGGGACGAGCGUUGGUUGCUGAUGCAGCAGUGAGUGUCUAACACGUUUCUCCACACAGGUAUACACCAGGUAUAGAUAGAUACAGUCACAUAGACACCAGGUAUAGAUAGAUACAGUCACAUAGACAGCAGGUAUAGAUAGAUACAGUCACAGAGACACCAGGUAGAGAUACAGUCACAUAGACACCAGGUAUAGAUAGAUACAGUCACAUAGACACCAGGUAUAGAUAGAUACAGUCACAUAGACAGCAGGUAUAGAUAGAUACAGUCACAGAGACACCAGGUAUAGAUAGAUACAGUCACAUAGACACCAGGUAGAGAUAGAUACAGUCACAUAGACACCAGGUAUAGAUAGAUACAGUCACAUAGACAGCAGGUAUAGAUAGAUACAGUCACAUAGACACCAGGUAUAGAUCCCUCCAGAACAUUCGCUCUUCUGUGUGGUUCCAGACUGACUCGCCCCCUGCGUUCGGGGGCGGCUCGCUGCCGUACGGGACAGAGAUUCUCGGCCCCUCACACUCCCCCGGGGGGAAAAGCCCAGCCUGGGAUUAGCUGCUGGACGGAACAGCCUUGCACAUGAAGUAGCUCAC
ensembl:lncRNA